rnacentral:rRNA from 1 species
UACGUAGGGGGCAAGCGUUGUCCGGAAUCAUUGGGCGUAAAGCGCGUGUAGGCGGCUCGGUAAGUCCGCUCUGAAAGCCCGGGGCUCAACCCCGGGAGGCGGGUGGAUACUGCUGAGCUCGAGUCCGGAAGAGGAGUGUGGAAUUCCUGGUGUAGCGGUGAAAUGCGCAGAUAUCAGGAGGAACACCAAUUGCGAAGGCAGCUCGCUGGAACGGUACUGACGCUGAGACGCGAAAGCGUGGGGAGCGAACAGG